UUGAAAGGGAAACGAUUGAAGUCAGUCGUACCAGCGGGAAAUCAACCUUUCGAGUGGGGGUUUUGGAGUUUUGAAGAGUUUCAAAACCUUUGAGAUUUCAAAAAUUUCGCUCUUUUGGUGUACUUUCUCGUGGGUAGGUUAACAUCGAUUUUGAUCAUCAUAAAAAGAUUGGAGGAAUGUAGCUUCGAUCUUGUAUUGAAGUGUUAUAGCCCUUGGUAAAUGUGAUGAUUAGGAUCGAGGAUUGCAACGAAUACCCUUUUGGGCUAUCCGCCUGAUCUCUGAUACGUGGCCUUGGUAUCGAAAGCUUGCUUAUGGUAUUAAGGUAUUACGGUCAAAAGGUUAGAACGGAUUACAUUCGUUAAGGAUGUUGACGUA
rnacentral:rRNA from 1 species